rnacentral:rRNA from 1 species
GACGAACGCUGGCGGCGUGCUUAACACAUGCAAGUCGAACGGGUCUGCCCUGUUUUUUGCGGGGUGGGUCAGUGGCGAACGGGUGAGUAACACGUGAGUAACCUGCCCCUCACUUCUGGAUAACCGCUUGAAGGGGUGGCUAAUACGGGGUGUUCUGGCUGUGCCGCAUGGUGUGGCUGGGAAAGAUUCACUUUUGUGGUGUUUUGGUGGGGGAUGGGCUCGCGGCCUAUCAGCUUGUUGGUGGGGUGAUGGCCUGCCAAGGCUUUGACGGGUAGCCGGCCUUGGGGGGUGGGGGGUUUCAACGGGAAUGGGGUUAGGGCCAGACUCCUGCGGGGGGGAGGCGGUGGGGGGAUUGGACAAUGGGGGGAAGGCUGGAGGCGGGGCGGCGGGGGGGGGAAGGGGGGCUUUGGGGUGGGAACCCUUUUCGCCGGUGAAGAAGGUCCUGCUCUUUGUGGUGGGGUUGACGGUAGCCGGGUUAUGAAGCGCCGGCUAACUACGUG